rnacentral:lncRNA from 1 species
GACUUGUAGGGAUUAUGUAGUGAAUGUGCAGUUUAUGCACUACUCAAGAUACAUAAGUAGAGUUUUGUAGUGUUAUCAGGUUACUUGCAAAGGUGGGAUAAAGUCACUAUUAUUCGAGUCACAAGAAAGUCUGAAGUCACGAGGUCAAAGUCUCCAGUCGAGUCCCAAGUAAAACGGGUCAAGUUUCAAGUAAAGUCCAUGUCGUACAUUCUAAGAGCAAGUCAAGUCGAGUCACGUUUAUUCAAGUCAAGUCAAAAAUUGACAUGCAAUGACUUGUUCAGCCACUGUCAAAUUGGUAUGAAGAGAUUCGGG